UGAGGAAUAUUGGUCAAUGGGCGCAAGCCUGAACCAGCCAUCCCGCGUGAAGGAAGACGGCCCUAUGGGUUGUAAACUUCUUUUGUACAUGAAGAACGUUUCUUACGAGUAAGAGAGUGACGGUAAUGUACGAAUAAGCAUCGGCUAACUCCGUGCCAGCAGCCGCGGUAAUACGGAGGAUGCGAGCGUUAUCCGGAUUUAUUGGGUUUAAAGGGUACGUAGGUGGCCCGGUAAGUCAGUGGUGAAAACCUGUCGCUUAACGAUAGGCGUGCCAUUGAUACUGUUGGGCUUGAGUACAGAUGAGGUAGGCGGAAUGUGUAGUGUAGCGGUGAAGUGCAUAGAUAUUACACAGAACUCCGAUUGCGAAGGCAGCUUACUAAACUGACACUGACGCUGAGGUACGAAAGCGUGGGUAGCGAACA
rnacentral:rRNA from 1 species